rnacentral:sRNA from 1 species
ACAAUCAACGUAGGCCUCACCUCAAUCGCAAACUUACCAAAGUUAAACAAACUUAAGAAGCUUGAACUAAGCGAUAACAGAGUCUCAGGGGGCCUGGAAGUAUUGGCAGAAAAGUGUCCGAACCUCACGCAUCUAAAUUUAAGUGGCAACAAAAUUAAAGACCUCAGCACAAUAGAGCCACUGAAAAAGUUAGAAAACCUCAAGAGCUUAGACCUUUUCAAUUGCGAGGUAACCAACCUGAAUGACUACCGAGAAAAUGUGUUCAAGCUCCUCCCGCAACUCACAUAUCUCGACGGCUAUGACCGGGACGACAAGGAGGCCCCUGACUCGGAUGCUGAGGGCUAUGUGGAGGGCCUGGAUGAUGAGGAGGAGGAUGAGGACGGUGGGUGACGGGGUGGCCCAGGGCUGCAGGGGCCCAUCUGAGGCCUUGGGGCUCCUCCUUGGCUUUGCAGAGGUGGGUGGGCUGGGUGUUGGGAGGCCCCCACCCAGCUACUGAAGGCUGGCCG